GUUGGUGGGGUGACGGCCCACCAAGGCGACGAUCGGUAGCCGGACUGGGAGGUUGAACGGCCACAUUGGGACUGAGACACGGCCCAGACUCCUACGGGAGGCAGCAGUGGGGAAUAUUGCACAAUGGGGGAAACCCUGAUGCAGCGACGCCGCGUGGAGGAAGAAGGUCUUCGGAUUGUAAACUCCUGUUGUUGAGGAAGAUAAUGACGGUACUCAACAAGGAAGUGACGGCUAACUACGUGCCAGCAGCCGCGGUAAAACGUAGGUCACAAGCGUUGUCCGGAAUUACUGGGUGUAAAGGGAGCGCAGGCGGGAAGACAAGUUGGAAGUGAAAUCCAUGGGCUCAACCCAUGAACUGCUUUCAAAACUGUUUUUCUUGAGUAGUGCAGAGGUAGGCGGAAUUCCCGGUGUAGCGGUGGAAUGCGUAGAUAUCGGGAGGAACACCAGUGGCGAAGGCGGCCUACUGGGCACCAACUGACGCUGAGGCUCGAAAGUGUGGGUAGCAAACAGGAUUAGAUACCCUGGUAGUCCACACUGUAAACGAUGAUUACUAGGUGUUGGAGGAUUGACCCCUUCAGUGCCGCAGUUAACACAAUAAGUAAUCCACCUGGGGAGUACGACCGCAAGGUUGAAACUCAAAGGAAUUGACGGGGGCCCGCACAAGCAGUGGAGUAUGUGGUUUAAUUCGACGCAACGCGAAGAACCUUACCAAGUCUUGACAUCCUGCGACGGUUCUGGAAACAGAACUUUCCUUCGGGACGCAGAGACAGGUGGUGCAUGGUUGUCGUCAGCUCGUGUCGUGAGAUGUUGGGUUAAGUCCCGCAACGAGCGCAACCCUUAUGGUCAGUUACUACGCAAGAGGACUCUGGCCAGACUGCCGUUGACAAAACGGAGGAAGGUGGGGAUGACGUCAAAUCAUCAUGCCCUUUAUGACUUGGGCUACACACGUACUACAAUGGCGUUAAACAAAGAGAAGCAAGACCGCGAGGUGGAGCAAAACUCAGAAACAACGUCCCAGUUCGGACUGCAGGCUGCAACUCGCCUGCACGAAGUCGGAAUUGCUAGUAAUCGCAGAUCAGCAUGCUGCGGUGAAUACGUUCCCGGGCCUUGUACACACCGCCCGUCACACCAUGAGAGCCGGGGGGACCCGAAGUCGGUAGUCUAACCGCAAGGAGGACGCCGCCGAAGGUGAAACUGGUGAUUGGGGUGAAGUCGUAACAAGGUAGCCGUAGGAGAACCUGCGGCUG
rnacentral:rRNA from 1 species